GUACUGCUGAAUAGUCCCAGACUGGGAUGAAACAGAUGUCCAGUAC
rnacentral:hammerhead_ribozyme from 1 species